rnacentral:misc_RNA from 1 species
AGCAGCCGCGGUAAUUCCAGCUCCAAUAGCGUAUAUUAAAGUUGUUGCAGUUAAAAGCUCGUAGUUGAAUUUCGGGGUCAAUACGUCGGUCGUGCCUCGGUACGCACUGACGUUAUUGAUCCCUCCCUUCUGACGAACCGUGAUGUCAUUAAUUUGGUGUUGCGGGGAAUCAGGACUGUUACCUUGAAAAAUUAGAGCGUUUAAAGCAGGCAAUCGCUCGAAUACAUUAGCAUGGAAUAAUGAAAUAGGACGUUCGAACCUAUUUUGUUGGUUUCUAGGAUCGACGUAAUGAUUAAUAGGGAUAGUUGGGGCAUUAGUAUUCAAUUGUCAGAGGUGAAAUUCUUGGAUUUAUUGAAGACUAACUACUGCGAAAGCAUUUGCCAAGGAUGUUUUCAUUAUCAAGAACGAAAGUUAGGGAUCGAAGACGAUCAGAUACCGUCGUAGUCUUAACCAUAAACUAUAGCCGACUAGGGAUCGGGAUGAUUGUUUAAUUUUUAAUGUACUACGUAUUCCGGCGUAC